UACGAGGAUCCGAGCGUAAGUCCGGAUUAUUGGGGUUAAGGGUAGCGUAGGUGGUUUGAUAAGUCAGCGGUGAAAGUUUGCAGCUUAACUGUAAAAAUGCCGUUGAAACUGUCGGACUUGAGUGUAAAUGAGGUAGGCGGAAUGCGUGGUGUAGCGGUGAAAUGCAUAGAUAUCACGCAGAACUCCGAUUGCGAAGGCAGCUUACUAAGCUACAACUGACACUGAAGCACGAAAGCGUGGGGAUCAAACAGGAUUAGAUACCCCUGUAGU
rnacentral:rRNA from 1 species